UGGGGGAAUAUUGGGCAAUGGGCGAAAGCCUGACCCAGCAACGCCGCGUGAAGGAAGAAGGUUUUCGGAUCGUAAACUUCUAUCCUUGGUGAAAAUAAUGAUGGUAGCCAAGAAGGAAGCCCCGGCUAACUACGUGCCAGCAGCCGCGGUAAUACGUAGGGGCAAGCGUUGUCCGGAAUGAUUGGGCGUAAAGGGCGCGUAGGCGGCCAACUAAGUCUGAAGUGAAACUCCUGCUUUUAAGGCAGGAACUGCUUUGGAUACUGGAUGGCUUGAGUGCAGGAGAGGUAAGCGGAAUUCCCGGUGUAGCGGUGAAAUGCGUAGAG
rnacentral:rRNA from 1 species